GUCCAUACCCCUCCACCUCUCCCGUGCGCCGCCGCCAAUCUUCCUACCUCCCACAUCGUUCCGUCAACCUCCGAGCCUCACAUCGGCCAGAUCCGUCCGCAACAACCUCUUCUUCUAUCUCCCCUCGUUCGUGCCGGUCGGAUCUCGCGACCUCAAGAUGCCCCAGGUUGCGCCUGACGCCGACGGCUUCAUCAGGCUCGCCGAGUUCGUGGCGCUGAACGCUACCGUUGACGGGGACGACGCCGCCGUCGUGGAGGACCUGCGGCUCGCCUUUGGGUCCUUAGACGUCGACGGCAGCGGUGCCAUGUCCUCCACCGAGCUUGCACACGUCCUCCACUGCCUCGGGUAGAAGGCCACCGGCAUGCAGUGCCGCCGCAUGGUUGAGGGUAUCACCAAGAACUGCGCCGGACUCAUACGGACUCAUAUCCUUGAUCCUUCGAGGACUUCAUGGUCAUAGUGGCCUGAUGCUGCACCGUUUUCGCCAGAUCUGAGGCUGCAGUGAGGGGUUCAGCAAGUGAAGCACCACAACGUCAAGCAGAGUAGCAGACAUCCGUGGGGAAUUUCCAUGAAAGGUUUAAUUCAGGCAUCAGGGCAAUUGUUAGUUCAACGAUUGUUAAUUCUGCACAUGUAUAUAUGAGCAGCGACACCAUCUCUGCACUCCUGUAGAAUCAGGUUCGGUUCAGGGCCUUUAUUGUGCAGCUAGAAAUCCACAGUAUAUCCAUCUUUUAUUUCAGCAAAGGUUCUUUGGGGAUUUGUGGCUAGUUGUAGUUGUAUUCUAUCAAUGAAAUCUUAGUACUUCCCCAGAGAAAUUAUCUGCUAGCAUAUGAGCUUAGUUGGCAUUUAACAAGUUUACACGAUCAUCUCCAAAAAAAAAUGUAGUAAACACAUAUUCUGAACAUUGGGACUGCAGCUUUGCUUUUCAUUGCUAUGUAUGUCUAUGCUUGCUUGCUUUCAAAUCUAACGGAAGCCAAUUAUUGUUGGACAAAUAAUCACUAAAUUUAAGCUUUUUAUUCAAAACUCAUCAACACAUAUUCAGAGAAGUGUAUGUAGUUCAGUAUCACAAAUUAGCUACCCUUGUGGACCUUCAUAUGAAGGCCAAACAGCAAUCGAUGUUGCUACUUCGUACAUGCAAAUUUAGUUUACCCUACCGUUGCUUGGUUUGCUACUGAUGUGGCUAAAAAAGAUGAGUAAUUUGUCAAGAUAUUGUUGAAGGCUAUUGUUUACAUUGCCAAGUUCAGUAAUUUGCUAAUUGUUCUAGAAUCACCACCUUCCUGUUUCCGACUCUGGUAUAAGCUAUAUUGUCAACAAUUCAACAUAAGUGGUCUUUGUGUUGUUAUAUUAGGAAAAUGCUAGGAAUAGGGAAAACAAUGGUAUACGAUGCAUAUAUUUAUAAUAUUAUAAUUUAUGAAAACAAUGUCAUGUUACAGCAUGAGUUUUAGUCUGUAUGAUCAUGUAUGUUAGCUACUUAGGUAUAAAGCUAUUCAUCAGGAGAUGGUUUAAUUCUUACAGCAACAAGUUUUUCCACUGAUUCGUCCUCGUUGGUUUGCAGGGCCAAAAUUUUGGGAAGAUACAUUUAUUUUUGAAGUCAAAAUGGAAAUAGUUUGUGCAAGGAGCAGGCAUAAGCUUCUUUACUCAUUGCUUAAUCCGGAAAAAGUGCAUUCAGCUAUUUCAUGAGUGCCAUCUAGUAGAGAUGGCUUAUCAGUAUUGAAAAUGAACAUGCAAUCCCAUGCCUUCUCAACGCUAUCUGUUAUGUUUCAGGUUGUGCAUCCGCUGCUUAGUUCAACUUGCCUCCACCACACCUCCCAGACCAUUCUCUCGUGCCCUCUCUUGGAUUCUCUCUCAGAUCCAUGCAAAUACAAAAUACUAGAAGCUGCCUUGAUUUAUUCAUUCCUUCACUUCAUAAACCAUAUCAUUCCUCCAACGUUUCUUCCAUGUUGGCCUAUUGAAACUAGUAUCCCACUACAUAAUCUGAUACCUUGUUGUCUUGUAAAGGCUGGGCAAUGAAAUUUUGUAUUGUCUGAAUUGUACACUAACAGAUUAACUGUUGUAAAGUCAUGGUUCAAAUUUCUUGAUGCUGUUGGGUUCUGUUAUCUGAAUAUUAUGUGUUGAACAUGAUCCUACUUGGUUUGUCCUGCUUUUAAAUUGCGUGUUCUGAACCAUCUGAAACUAACAAUGCUAGUUUGUACUAAGGUUUUGUGUUUGAUUUAGAAGCCAGGUAAUGAAAACUGUGUAUCCUCUAAAAAAGUACUGUAUGUUCCGUGUUCUAAAGCCUGUGUGAUUGAUAGUACAGUUAAUUAAAUUGUUGGUUUUCCUACCAUGAUUUGGCACUGACCUAAUACUUACUGUUUGUGUUUAUUUCAGAGAUGUCUGUUUUCCCUGGUUUCAGAAGAAAAAAACCGCACAAGUUCCAGUGCCUGACACUAAGAUGAAGAUCAGCUGCGCCUGUCUAGACACAAUAAGUUGAGACACAAGUGCAUCGUGAGCUGGUGGUGCGCAUGGAACAACACCGUUAGGUCCUCCUGGCAAUACAACGACUGUUGCAACAGGAGGCCUUGGAGCGAUGGGUUCAGCAGAUUUUGCAAGAAAUGCAUCUUUUUUUGUUGCUGAUUCUGUGUUAAAUCCGAUGAAGUUGUAAAGUAAUGAAUGCUCCUUGCACACAUGCUGUUGUUUAACUGUAAAAAAAAGUGUUUCUAUGUACAUCCUGCU